rnacentral:misc_RNA from 1 species
GAUGAAGAACGUAGCGAAAUGCGAUAAGUAAUGUGAAUUGCAGAAUUCAGUGAAUCAUCGAAUCUUUGAACGCACAUUGCGCCCGCCAGUAUUCUGGCGGGCAUGCCUGUCCGAGCGUCAUUUCAACCCUCGAACCCCUCCGGGGGGUCGGCGUUGGGGACCUCGGGAGCCCCUAAGACGGGAUCCCGGCCCCGAAAUACAGUGGCGGUCUCGCCGCAGCCUCUCCUGCGCAGUAGUUUGCACAACUCGCACCGGGAGCGCGGCGCGUCCACGUCCGUAAAACACCCAACUUCUGAAAUGUUGACCUCGGAUCAGGUAGGAAUACCCGCUGAACUUAAGCAUAUCAAUAAGCGGAGG